AGUGAACGCUGGCGGUAGGCCUAACACAUGCCAGUCGAACGGCAGCACAGUAAGAGCUUGCUCUUACGGGUGGCGAGUGGCGGACGGGUGAGGAAUACAUCGGAAUCUACUUUUUCGUGGGGGAUAACGUAGGGAAACUUACGCUAAUACCGCAUACGACCUACGGGUGAAAGCAGGUGAUCUUCGGACCUUGCGCGAUUGAAUGAGCCGAUGUCGGAUUAGCUAGUUGGCGGGGUAAAGGCCCACCAAGGCGACGAUCCGUAGCUGGUCUGAGAGGAUGAUCAGCCACACUGGAACUGAGACACGGUCCAGACUCCUACGGGAGGCAGCAGUGGGGAAUAUUGGACAAUGGGCGCAAGCCUGAUCCAGCCAUACCGAGUGGGUGAAGAAGGCCUUCGGGUUGUAAAGCCCUUUUGUUGGGAAAGAAAAGCAGCAGGUUAAUACCCCGCUGUUCUGACGGUACCCAAAGAAUAAGCACCGGCUAACUUCGUG
rnacentral:rRNA from 1 species